rnacentral:lncRNA from 1 species
GCUUCACAGUUGAAUAACUUGAAUAUUCCCCCCUUUUAUUUAUCUAUAAAAAGUGAAAUGAGAGGGGAAAAGCAGCAAAAGUCAUGGAGAAACAAACUUACAUUUGUUUAUAGAUGUCAAUUUUAAUAAAAUGUUUAUGUAGUAGAGAAAUUUCCAGUGUUCAGAUUAACUUCAAUUCUGAAAACUCAUCUAUGUUUGAGAAUACACUCUUUUUACAGGGCAAACUUAUAUCAUUCUUAUGUUAU